rnacentral:rRNA from 1 species
CAGUAGCCGCGGUAAUACGUAGGUGGCAAGCGUUGUCCGGAAUUAUUGGGCGUAAAGGGCUCGCAGGCGGUUUCUUAAGUCUGAUGUGAAAGCCCCCGGCUCAACCGGGGAGGGUCAUUGGAAACUGGGAAACUUGAGUGCAGAAGAGGAGAGUGGAAUUCCACGUGUAGCGGUGAAACGCGUAGAGAUGUGGAGGAACACCAGUGGCGAAGGCGACUCCCUGGUCUGUAACUGACGCUGAGGAGCGAAAGCGUGGGGAGCGAACAGGAUUAGAUACCCGGGUAGUCCCUGUCUCUUAUAC